rnacentral:rRNA from 2 species
AAAUUGAAGAGUUUGAUCAUGGCUCAGAUUGAACGCUGGCGGCAGGCCUAACACAUGCAAGUCGAACGGUAACAGGAAGCAGCUUGCUGCUUCGCUGACGAGUGGCGGACGGGUGAGUAAUGUCUGGGAAACUGCCUGAUGGAGGGGGAUAACUACUGGAAACGGUGGCUAAUACCGCAUAACGUCGCAAGACCAAAGAGGGGGACCUUCGGGCCUCUUGCCAUCAGAUGUGCCCAGAUGGGAUUAGCUGGUUGGUGAGGUAACGGCUCACCAAGGCGAC